CUGGCUGACUGAAAGGUAAUUUUAUAUUUAUUUGGUUGGUUUUUGUUUCCUCCCAACCACCCCCCCCACAUAUAUAUCCUAGUAAUUACCUGUGUUUACACACGGGCACUACAAAAAAAAAAAUAAUUUUUUUUUAUCCAAUUUUGAUGAUUCUUCUAGAAGAAUAAAAAUAAAAAUAAAUAAAUAAAAAACAAUAACAAAAAGGUAGCUCUCAGUAAGUAACUUUCUCAGAAAAAACAACUAAUCUUAAACUAACUAAUCUAAUAUAAAACACAUAAGAGAACUUGUAUUUUCCACCCCUGAACAUCCCAAACCCCUCGAUUGUGACUUUUUUGGGACUUUUAAUUUGUACCUUCAAUCUCCUCAAAUUACAAUUGUGACAUUUCAACCAUUUUAUUUUUUAAUACCCUUUAUUUUUUUUAUUUUACUUUUAUACAUGAAUUUUUAUUACAAAAAAAAUUAUGAUUAAACUUUAUAACUUCUUUAUUUUUUUUCUUUUAAUACCCCAGUGAUUUUUGUUUUUUCUUUUACUUCAUUUUUAAAUUUUUAUAACCCUUUAGUUUAUAAUUUUUUUUACUCUCACCUUAUGUGUUUUUUAUAAUAAAAAAAACUAUGGAUUAAAAAUAAAAUUUUUAUAUAUUUUUAAAAAUUUGAUGGGGUUGAUAGUUAUAUGUUUUUGUUAUUUGAGGACUAUCUAGAAAAUUAAUAAGGUAUUUUUAGUAGUUUGAUUUACAUAAAAACACAUUAGAAAAUUAAUAAUUUUUAAGUAUCAAUACAGUAAGUAGUAAAUUCAAACAUUGCAUUAAAUUCAGAACAUAAUUUUCAUUAAUAUCUCAUUCCAAAAGAAAAUAAUUUUUUUAUAAUUUUUUUUAUAUAAAAAUUCAGAAUGAAAGUAAAAAAAUAAAGUAAAAGAAAUAAGGGGUAUUUAAUAGAAAAAGGAAAAAUAAAGGGGUUAUAAAAUUUUAUAUAAAAAAUUCGAAAGUGAAAAUAAAAAAAAUAAAAUAAAGGGAUAUUACAAAAAGUAUUAAAAUCAUUGAAUAUGAAAGUGAUUCGGAGGAGAGAGGGGAGAAGAGAGAGUGAGAGUUAUGAUGGAGAGAGAAGGAAAAGUGAUGGGCUGAGAGCGCGUGUGAAGUAAUAUGUUUGGGCGGGGAAAAAAAAUACAUUUGAGGUUGAAAUGUAAGCGUUAGAUCAACUCAAAUUGAUUGCAGCCGCGUAGAUUAGCGAGGAGAUAGAUUUGGAUUCAAACGUAGUUUGUGGAUUUGUAUUUUAUACUAGUAUUGCCCGUGCCACGGGGCACUAUGCAAAAAAAAAUUAAAAAUCUCUUUUUAUCAAUUUUGAUGAUUGUUCAUCACAGAAGACACCAAAAUAAAAAUAAAAAGAAAAGAAAAUAAAAAACAAGCACAAAUAAGGUAAGGGGCAGGAACUUCGCAGAACACUUUAAAAAAAGUAAGUCUAAACUAAUUAAUAUAAUCUAAAACUAAAUAUAAGAAAGCUUUAUUGUUUUUUUGUGUGUUGUUUCCUUAUCCUGUAUCUCACCCCAUCGAUGUGACAUUUUUUUUUUGUACUUUUAAUUUUUACCUAAAUUCUUUCUCAAAUUAUUAAUGUGCCAUUAAACCAUUUUAUUAUUUUUUUAAUACCCUUUAUUUUUUUUUAAUACCAUUUUAUUUCUUUUUUUUUUUUACUUUCACUUCUUCAUUUUAUAUAUAAAAAUUAUGAUUAAAUUUUUGAAUCCUUUAUUUUUUUUCUUUUAAGAACCCCUUAUUCUUGUUUUUUUUUUUUUUACUUUCACUUCUAAUUUUAUUAAAAAAAUUAUAAUAAAAUUUUAUAAUUUUUUUACUCCCACCUUAUGUUUUUUAUAAAAGAAAAAAAAUAUGGAUCAAAAUUUUUAAUACUUUUUAAAACAAUUGAUAGUUGAUAGUUAUCUGUUAUUUGUUUUUGAGACUAGCCUUGAAAGUAAAAUGUUUUUUUUAGUUUUUUAGUAGUUUGAUUUAUUAUAAAAUAUAUAAGAAAAAUAUAACUUUAACGUUUCAGUAUUAAAUUCAAUAUUACCACAAUAAGAAUAUAUUUCUCAUUAAUAUCUCCUCCCAAAAGAAAAUUAUAAUUUUUUUUUUAAAUUUUUUUUAAUAUAAAAUUCAAAAGAAAAUAAAAAAAAUAAAAGAAUUAUGGGUAUUAAAAGAAUAAGAAAUAAGGGUUAUAAAAUUUUAAUAAAAAAAUAUAUAAAAAAAUUUAAAAGUGAAAGUAAAAGAAUAAAGAGAUAUUAAAAAAUAUAAAGGGGUUGAAUUGAAAGUGAUGGGAAGAGAGAGAAGAGAGUUAUGAUGGAGAGAGCAGUGAAAGUGAUGGGAGGAAAGAGAGUGAAAGUGUAUUUUGGGCGAGAAAAAAUAAUUGAGGUAAAACUUGAGCCGUUAGAUCAACUCAAAUUGUGUUUCGCCGUAGAUAACGAGAGAUAAUUUUGAUUCAAACGUAGUUGUGAUUUGUAUUCUAUAUAUAAUAUAUAAUAUAUAUAUAUAUAUUAUAUUAUGUUUAGUUGCAUAUAUUUUAAAUUAUAAUUAUAUUUUUUAUGUCUAUGAGUGUUGCAUCUUAAAUCUCCUAUUAAUAAUAGGCUAAUAGCUUUCCUAAGUGUUAUCUCCAAAUCUAACUUAUGAGGAGUUGGUUUUUAAAGAUAAAAUUUUCAUGGAUCAAGUCCUCUUUAACAAAUUUUCUUUUUCACUUGUCCAAAGCUUAAAGUAAUCACGAUGCUUUCUAUUUUAGAAUUAGUCAAUAAUAUUAUACUAUGGAUAUUCUCAAUGACGAAAAGGAUCCACGGAACUUUAGAAUAAUUGGAUAAGGUAACUGGAUGCGGUGAAAAUCUCACAACAAAGAAUAGUAAUUCUUUGAUCCAAACUCUAUCUAUACCUUAAUUCCCCAAUCAACAUAUUCAUUGAACAACUCUUACGAUAACACUAUUCCAAAGUAAAAUAUAUGUAUAGAGAAAAUCUCACACGCAAAGUCUCUAUUGGCAAUCACUAUAUCCUUCAAGAAGAAGUAUUCUAUGAUAUUUUUUUUUGUAAAUACCAUAAUGUUUGGAACCAAAUUAAUAUUAUGAUUACCAUGAAAAUCAAUGAUAGUUAGUCUACUUGCUAGUAAACCUCCUAAAUACUCAAUUUUUAGAUCCGCCGUAAAACCGCCAUUCACAUUUCUCAAAACAAUGGCGACUGGUGAAAGAACUAUUUCUUUAGUAGUUUUAUUAAUUUUUUAGUCUCAUUUUAUCACAUGCAAUUUAGAGCCAAAAUUAGCAAUUUCAUCCACAAUAGGCUACUAAUCACCACUCGUAUAGGCACAUUGAGUAAAAACUGUAUCAUUUUGAAUACCCUUAAUUUUUAAAAUAUAUGCAUAGGUUUAUAAUGAUAUGAUUAAUCCACUAUUUGUAUCCCCUAGCUUAUAGCAUUGAUACCCAACCUGUUUAAUUUGCACACCAGCUAAUCUAAUGCCCGCAACUCAUCCACUAUCCACAAUUAGCCCACAACUAGAAAAAACCCUGAAUCAAAUAACGAUAAACCCAAUUAAAUAUUAUAAUUUUUAGAGGCUUGACAAACGAGACAAAAGAAGAAUUAAGGUAAUCAAGCAAACGUCAAUCUCUUUCUCUCACCCCACCCCACCCCACCCCCCCCCAAAAAAGUAAUGAUAACUAAAAGGACCUUGGACAAUCAGGUCAAUCCUCUCAUUUUUCAUUUAAGUAUAAAAUCAGAUAAUGAAUUCUUUUUUUUACUUUUUUGGAGGGAGGUGGGUCCCAUUGUGAUGAACAGCAGUCAUUACACAAUAGAAACACAAUUAAAAUUUUUUUGUAGAGCGGAUGAAAUACGUUGUCCAUUUGAAAAUAAAAAAUAUUUGCCAUGAGAUUAAGUCUGAGUCGGGAGGCCACCCUUUUGUCCUUUAAUAAAACAUCUAAAAAGUUUGCAAAUAGUCAAAUGGUCUGCAGACAGAAUACAUGUAAAAUUUAUAUAUUCCACUCUAUAGCCUCUUAAAACCUAACAAUCUCAAUAGGCAUCAUUUGGUUUUAGAAAUUCUUCAUUUUGCAUCUAAUCAAACUUCAAAUUAUGCUAAUUUUUCAUGUUACAAAUUCACAGUUGUAGCACAGCUGUCCGCACAACCUGUUUGUGAUUUUGGGCAAGUGCCUUUAUUGGUUCCAUUUCUAAACACAUCAUUAUGCCAAAAUUUUCUCGAAGAAGUUGAAAAAAAACCUGAUAAGAAAGCUCUGAAUUGGGAAACGAAGGAUGAUAUUGAUGUACAACUUGAACGAGAAAAUCCACAUAAAACUCCAACCAAAGAAUGCGAAGACUGGAUAAAGAAUGUGUGAGAUGAAAAAAUAUACCGAUCAUAACGUCAGAGUUCAAAAUGGAGAAGAAAUGCCUCAGAGUAUUAAUGUCCUGAUAUUUUUGCACGUAUGAAGCUUUGUGAACGAGUGGUAAAUAUGAUCUGUGAGGUUGAAGACCUCUAAGAAGUCUAAAUUUGAAAAUGGCUUUCCUCACUGCAUUCACACCCCAACCACUUAAAAUUGAGAAGAAGCUAGUUCCAGAGUCCACUCACAGCUUCAGCCUCUAAUACAUUGGAGAAGGUACUAGAUAAAUUUCGAGAUGCGACCACUCCAAAGAUUGGGAUUUGGGGAAUGGCGGAAUGGCAAGACAACUGUUAUGCAGCUCUUGAAUACUACACCAGAAAUUCACAACAAUGUUUGUAUUUGUGUGUUCAUAUGGUGACCGUCUCAAAAACUUGGAACAUUAGAAAGAGACAAGAGGAAUUUUGGAAGCGUUUUAUCAAUAGAUACAACUACCGAGUCAGGAGAGAGUUGCAAUAAAAAAUGGGGGUGCAGAACUUGAGGGGAAGAAGUACUUGUUGCUCUUUAGAUGAUGUUUGGGAAAAGGUGGAUUUAAGUGUUGUAAGGGUGUCCCAUGCCCGUCAAUACAUGGUUGUAAAGUUGUUCUGACAACCAGAAAUGUAGAAGUUUGUUCGGAAGAUAAAACUGA
rnacentral:lncRNA from 1 species